UACGAAGGGGGCUAGCGUUGCUCGGAAUCACUGGGCGUAAAGCGCACGUAGGCGGCUUUUUAAGUCAGAGGUGAAAUCCUGGAGCUCAACUCCAGAACUGCCUUUGAUACUGGAGAGCUUGAGUCCGGGAGAGGUGAGUGGAACUGCGAGUGUAGAGGUGAAAUUCGUAGAUAUUCGCAAGAACACCAGUGGCGAAGGCGGACUCACUGGCCCGGUACUGGACGCUGAGGCACGAAAGCGUGGGGAG
rnacentral:rRNA from 1 species